GACGAACCGUCCAAACGUUAUUCGGAAUUACUGGGCGUAAAGCGCACGUAGGCGGCUUGGUAUGUCGGGUGUGAAAUCCCCGGGCUCAACCUGGGAACUGCAUCCGAAACUGCCUUGCUAGAGUAUGGGAGAGGGAAGUGGAAUUUCCGGUGUAGCGGUGAAAUGCGUAGAUAUCGGAAGGAACAUCAGUGGCGAAGGCGACUUCCUGGACCAAUACUGACGCUCAGGUGCGAAAGCGUGGGGAGCAAACAGG
rnacentral:rRNA from 1 species